rnacentral:rRNA from 1 species
GACGAACGCUGGCGGCGUGCCUAACACAUGCAAGUCGAGCGGAGAUGAUGUGAGGAAGUUUUCGGAUGGAAUCACAUUAUUUUAGCGGCGGACGGGUGAGUAACGCGUGAGCGACCAACCUUGCACAGGGGGAUAACGGACCGAAAGGUUCACUAAUACCGCAUGAGACCACGGUGUUGCAUGACACAGAGGUCAAAGGAGCAAUCCGGUGCAAGACGGGCUCGCGUCCGAUUAGGUAGUUGGAGGGGUAACGGCCCACCAAGCCUAUGAUCGGUAGCCGACCUGAGAGGGUGAGUCGGACCACAUUGGAACUGAGAUACGGUCCAAAACUCCUACGGGAGCAGCAGUAGGGAAUAUUGGGCAAUGGGCGAAAGCCUGACCCAGCCAUGCCGCGUGAAGGAAGACGGCCUUAUGGUUGUAAACUUCUUUACUACGCGAAUAGAGGUUAGUACGAGAUACUAAUAGGAAGGUAGUGUAGUAAAAAGCAACCGGCUAACUCCGUGCCAGCAGCCG